UACGUAGGUGACAAGCGUUGUCCGGAUUUACUGGGCGUAAAGAGCGCGCAGGCGGUCGAUCAAGUCGAGUGUGAAAGCCCCCGGCUCAACUGGGGAGGGUCAUUCGAUACUGAUCGACUCGAAGGCAGGAGAGGGUAGUGGAAUUCCCGGUGUAGUGGUGAAAUGCGUAGAUAUCGGGAGGAACACCAGUGGCGAAGGCGGCUAUCUGGGCUGCAACUGACGCUGAGGCGCGAAGGCUAGGGUAGCAAACAGG
rnacentral:rRNA from 1 species